rnacentral:tRNA from 1 species
UGGGGCAUAGCCAAGCGGCAAAGGCAGCGGGUUUUGAUCCCGCCAUACCCAGGUUCGAAUCCUGGUGCCCCAG